GAUGAACGCUGGCGGCGUGCUUAACACAUGCAAGUCGAACGAAGCGCUUGAAUGGAAUUCUUCGGAAGGAAGCUCGAGUGACUGAGUGGCGGACGGGUGAGUAACGCGUGGGUAACCUGCCUCAUACAGGGGGAUAACAGUUAGAAAUGACUGCUAAUACCGCAUAAGCACACGUGAUCGCAUGAUCGAGUGUGAAAAACUCCGGUGGUAUGAGAUGGACCCGCGUCUGAUUAGCUGGUUGGUGGGGUAACGGCUCACCAAGGCGACGAUCAGUAGCCGGCCUGAGAGGGUGAACGGCCACAUUGGGACUGAGACACGGCCCAAACUCCUACGGGAGGCAGCAGUGGGGAAUAUUGCACAAUGGGGGAAACCCUGAUGCAGCGACGCCGCGUGAAGGAUGAAGUAUUUCGGUAUGUAAACUUCUAUCAGCAGGGAAGAAAAUGACGGUACCUGACUAAGAAGCCCCGGCUAACUACGUGCCAGCAGCCGCGGUAAUACGUAGGGGGCAAGCGUUAUCCGGAUUUACUGGGUGUAAAGGGAGCGUAGACGGCAGUGCAAGUCUGAAGUGAAAGCCCGGGGCUCAACCCCGGGACUGCUUUGGAAACUGUGCAGCUAGAGUGUCGGAGAGGCAAGCGGAAUUCCUAGUGUAGCGGUGAAAUGUGUAGAUAUUAGGAGGAACACCAGUGGCGAAGGCGGCUUGCUGGACGAUGACUGACGUUGAGGCUCGAAAGCGUGGGGAGCAAACAGGAUUAGAUACCCUGGUAGUCCACGCCGUAAACGA
rnacentral:rRNA from 1 species